rnacentral:lncRNA from 1 species
CUCAUACUUGUCUAGUACAUUUAUAAACGGUAUAAUUUUAUGUUCAGUUGACGCUGAGAAAGUCCUUAUUACGUGUAGUAUGUGAACAAACACAAUGCGUUCAAUUAACCUUAUACUAAUCAAUAAUUAGCAUAUGAAUAAACGGAAUGUAGAAUAUAUUGCAAAGAGACAUCAAAUCAAGAAGAAUAAAAAACACACAAUCUUUACCAACACACAGGCGCG